ACUACCAAAUAUGUAAUAUAAUUAGAUUUAAGUAUAUCAAAAUUCAUAUCUGAAGACCGUAAAAUAUAGUUCAUUCCAAUCUCUCAGUUCUUUCAUCCCAUCCUAGCAUCUCUAGGCUCAUAUGUGAUCCUCUUCCACACACACCAAGACCACCAAGACCCAUCCAUAUAUAUUAGACUAAAUUGGGCUAAGGAAUAUAACCAUGCAUAGGUCAACAAGAACAUAGGAUAGGCUAGGUCGAGUCUAGGUCUGGUUCUUGUGGCUGGGCCUAGCCUAUGUGAUGGCCUAAUCCGCUGCACUAGGCACCAGC
rnacentral:lncRNA from 1 species